CUGAACUGUAAAGGCUCAGAGGGCAUUUUUUCCUUGCAAAUUUGCCUUUGGAAUUUCUCUUUCUUUUCUGUUAGGAAAGUACUAUUGUUUGACCGUAGGGCCAAUCUCAUGUAGUUUAGAUUCCCCAUACUUGCAGAAUUAGAGUUUUUUUCUUCAUUAUGGGAUGCUUUUUGGUGCUUUCAAAUGGAAAAAGCAGAGUUGUUCCAGGCACUGACAGAAAUCUGUGCUGUUGAUUUUUGUUUCCUUCCUGGACUUCCCAAAGGAAAUACAAAAGAAGAUAUUGAUAUUAAUCUGUUAGAUCACAAAAAACCAAUGUACAACUAAAUGAACCUAGAUUAAUUUUUUCAAAGCCCAAACAAAAGAAAGAUUAACAGUACAUAGUUCUUUUUUAGACAAGACUGACUUGCACAGCCUGUCCCCUGAGUCACUAGGCUUCCCACCUCAAUUAGUCUGCAUUUGCUCAUUUUCCCACUCUAACAUUUCUUAGUAGUAACCAGCUUCUAUCUUCUCUUUGCUUUACAUGGUCACUCUUCCUUUUGUGAUCAUCCCCCAAAUAUCUCUUAUCUCAGUUGGCACUCACUGCUGUCAUUUAUCCUCUCUAAUCACCUGAACUCCUAGGUGUUGGGUGAACCUGUCCCUUAGGCUACCGUAGCUUGCAGAGACUUGGCUUUCAGCCUUAAGGUUCAACAUGCUGCUGGAGUUCCUUCCAUUGCCUCCAUCUUCCAGGCAGCUGGAAGUGGAAGGAACAAGACAUCUCACCACCAAGCCAGCUUUCUCACACAAAGAAUGCAGAGGCAACUGACCAGACACGUAACUGCGUACCAGAGAGAGGGAAAAGCAGAAUGAGGCACAAACAAAUGCAUUUCAGAGAAUGCAGGCAAGUUCAAACUCAGAAGGCGAAAGUCCAGCGGAAAGUACCGGAACUGAGGGAAAACUAUUUGCCUAACCACCCACACCACUGAAUGCUUUCUUGGAAUCUGCUGUGUGUUUAAGAUGAUAUCCUACCCACACACAUGUAACCUUUACCUUUUUGCAAACCAAAUCUGAUUCUACAAGGAAAGCACAAAAAUAAAAAUAUUUUUCUCUCAAAUUAUAUCAGAUUUGUUUCUGCUCAAAUUAUCUCAGACUAGUUUUAAAAAUUGUAAACUCUCCCAUAUCAAGCAUCUAACUAUCCACUGAAUUUGGCUAUGCAACUUCAGUUUUUAGAGAAGGUGGUAAAGUCUCUAUUUUUAAGGGGGAAAAAUUAAGGGUUACUAAGAAAUAUAGAAAUAAAACUGGAUUUUUUUUUUUUGCUUUGUUUUACAGUGUUUCUGGAACUUUCUUUCUUUUCAUUCCUCAGUAGCUUUCCGGACUCUAUCCUGAACUGAAUCUUCUUUUGUGAAAGUUACCUUUGACCUGUGACUUGACUAAGCAUGGGCUUUUUACAGUACGUGGUGCUUGAUCAGUCUAUGAAUUCAACCCAAUUAACAUUUUCUCUGUAGAAAUUGCUGCCAUUGGCUCCCAUGACAUCAUGCUUGUGUCCCUCUUUUAGUCUUUCUGACAACUUUUACCCAGUCUUAUUACUCCCUCUUUUUACUUCACGUAUUGUUUAAUUAUUGCUUCUUCCAUGGGGUUCCAUUCCAAACUCUCUUCUUUUUCGUUUCUACAUACUUUCCCUGGAAAAAUUCACUAAGCCAUGAAUAAAAGUAUCAAAUGGACAUUCAUGAAUCCAGGCUUUCAGUCUCCAGCCCCAUCUACCUGCCUGCCCUGACAAUACAAACACUUGAAUGAUUAUUACAUAAAUAAAUAUAUUUCUAACUUCUGCCACUGUUUUCCAAAACCACAGAAGCCAUCUUUAUUUUGGUUGGCCAUUUUAUCCUUGGCAAUAAGCACAGUCCCUGGCACAUGGAAGGCUCUCAAAAAAUCAUCUUAGGUGUUGAAGGAGUGACCUCUUUUUGGCAUCUCCUGAUGCCCUCUAACUUUAAUCUGUCACUAUAUCUUUUUGCUUCUAUCAACUCACAUAUAUUUCAAAUCUGCUUUUUCACCAUCAUCCCCAAUGACAUUCUUUGGAGGAGACAGUAUCUCCUGCCUACCAUCAGCCUUGACUCCAUCCACCAAACUAUCAGUGUUCUUACUUUUUAGACACAAGUAUGGUAGAUGUACUCUCCUGUUCUUGAAUAUUUAAUGGAUUCCAAAUUCUUCUAGUAACAAAUCUAAAUGCCUUAGCCCAUUCUUCAGGGUUCUCAAACCCUAACCUGACUCUAACCUCUCUUUCCAAUCCCAUCUUUUCAAUAUAUUCAUCCUGUAAUUCAGUAACUGCAGAUGUCUCAAGUGCCCUGAACACUCCGUAUUCUUUUUUUCCUAUGUUGGUUUCCUCUGCUCUUUUGAACUUCUUUGUCAUCUGUGUCUUGAACUCUAACACCUAUGUGCAUCUUAUACUUUUAACUUAUAAAAUCCUAUUUUUUGACAGAUUGUUACCCAGUAGUCCUUGGGUGCAACUGAUGAAUGAUGAAUAGGGUCAUAACAUGAAUGUAAACUCACUUUCUCUGACUUUAGACUCCGUCGUCUUUUGUGCUAAGGGGACCGUGGUUCCAGUUCCCAGCAUAUACUCACACUUUGCUCUUAGUCAUUUUUCAUUGCCAUCCCUCUCUGCUGACUGCAUUCAGGUCACCUUUUCUGUAUCACUGUCUUGACUCUGCUCAAACCAUGAUCAUAAAGAGAUUUGUGGUAAAUAUCCUUUUAUCACAUGCAUUGAUCUUAUUAGUGAGUCAGAAACCAGGGUGACCUCAUUUUCUUGUUUUUCUACUGUACCUUUAGUUAUAGAGUGCAUUUCUUGAUUCAUUUUUAGUAUAUCUCUCCACUCUUGAAAAAAUUGUCACAGGUCUUUGAGAGGCUGAGUUGGAAGACAGCUUACAUAGGUAGCUAUCUUUCACAUAAAAAAUCAAGUCUUUUCAUUUCUCCUAGCCAAGCUCCUUGGUCUGGGUUUGUCACUCUGAGAGUCCUACUUGAGGAUUAAGGCUGUGGGAGCCAGCUGUGAGUUCCAUCUCCAAACAUCGUUUUCCCAUGGGUCUCACUGAAUCCUCAGCCCAAAAAGCAUUUCUAGUAGGCUUCUUAGAUAACUACCUUAUUAAAAUGAUUCACAAACUUAAGCCAAGAAGUAUAAAGCCUAUAUAGAAAAGGUAUCUCAAAAUUAAUAUACUACUAGGAAGGCUGAAGUGGGAGGACCACUUGAGGCCAGGAGUUCAAGGCUGCAGUACGUUAUGAUCAUGCAUGUGAAUAGCCACUGCACUCCAGGCUGGACAACGUAGCAAGAUCUUGUUGCUAACAUAAUAAUAAUAAUAACAACUUAUAAGUGACCCAAGAAUGAUUAGCUGCUGUAGUUUUAAAAAUGAAUUAUAUGUAUUCUCUGACAUUGUUUGAUAAAAAAGUAUUAAUGGUCCCACAGCAUCCUACAAUGAUAGAUGAUUCGUGAGGAGUUUAUGUCAGAUUAAUUAACUAGACAAUUUAUAAAUGUGGCUACUAGCAAGGCAGAUUCUGGAUAUCUUGAAGGACCAGGGGAAGAAAAAGAGAUUUUCCCAUAUUCAGUGAGGUCAUUUCUGCAAUUAGUGGUUUGGAGUGGGUCCCCUUAGCAGAGUUUAGCUGGAUGGAAUUUGAACUCACUCUAAUAUAAUAUGAUGGGGUAAAAUGUUUUGAUCAUCUGCCAUUUAUUGACAUACUAAUCUAUUAUCUAUUUAGGCUUUCUUCAAUUCAUUUCUAAGUAGCAAAAAGGAAAACAUCUGUAGGUUCAUGGUGAUUAUAAUACUGAAAGAAAACCUUUUGCUCAGAAGUAGAGCUUUCCUUUAGGCUGAACCCCAAGAAAAAUGUUUUAUUUGCAUCUUUAUUAUAAAGAAAAAAAGGCAUAAUAUAUUGGAUAACUAUAGUGUACAUAUAAGGUGCACAGUCUACAACUUUCCUCUAAGAAGUAUAAAUGUAGUAAUAGUCAUAUGGCUGUGUUUAUCGUGUUUUUAAGGUAAUCAUGCAAUUCAAUUGAGUAAAACUCUAUAAACAGCAGAAAUACAGUCUAUGUGUGUGGUUCUGAUGAAUUAGCAAGAAGACUUAAGAUUUCUCAAAUUCAUAAAAGAGGUAAGAUUGUCAAAGAUGUUUAGGGAAUGUGUUUACAUAAAUGUUACAUUGAAAACAUAGGCUCUUUGAGGAUUAAAUGCUUCUAUAAGCGAAUUUAGCAAAAGAAUACCCUUAAUUGCAUAAAGAUUACUGGGGACAAUAAAAAUACAUACACAUGUCAUGCUAUUAUGAAAUCACAGGUGAUCUGUGGAUAAUUUACACUUGGUUAAACCCCAAUAGAUUUUUUUCUCUGUAUCAUGUUGAUUCAUUAUUUAUAUUAGAUUGGUUAUCUAUAUUAAUGAAGUUAAACAAAGGGGCCAAAUUUGUCUUUGCAAGACAUUUUUACAUUCUAACUAACCUUCAAGAUCCAACUCAGGUACCAUCACUUCCUAAAUUUUCUUUCCCCUCUUUGUUUAUAUGUAUAGUCUAUUUUGCACAGCAUACCUAACUAUAAUUUUAUGCUCCAAUUGUUUGAAUCACGUGCACAGUUCUAGUGUAGUUGAAAAUUAUCCUAAUAUAAUACAGUUCAAUAAUAUGAGACUUUUAACAUAUGCCUUACAUAAAGAUGGAGUUUAAAGCCAAGACUCAUGUACUCUAUCUGGAAAUCUAGGCAGCACAAAUUCACUCAAGACUGAAUGAGCGUUACAGAAUCAGGUCAAGGUGGUAGAGUUUUGGAGACAUUGAAUGUUGUUGUUUCAGCACUGCUCAAAAAAGCACUGCAUGAAAAUAUAUCUGUAACUCCGUACAAAAUCAUGUCCAUUGAAACUUUUCACUGUUGCAGGGAUAUAGGUUUUAUCUAACAUUAUUCUAUUAUUGCUUUUUACUACAGUGCAUAAACAGAGUAUAACUCUGCUUGAAUUUUGAAUUUUCUACUAGUAUAUAUUUCAUAUGAUUUAUUAGUUAUUCAAAAUAUUCUGCUAUAUUUUAAUUGUGAAUCUUGAUACUUCUCAAUUUCCAUAGUCCAGAUUCAAUACACACAAUAUUCCAAUGGGUCAUCACUGCUUCCAUUAAGAUUCUCCAUCUCUGUCCUGGAAUUUACCCUAUCAUUGAAAUCAUGGUUAUGUGUAAUGAACAAGCUAACUGCUCUAGCGUGGAAACACAAAACCUUAUUUGUGAUAAUGAGAUUUGACUUGUCUUCUUCCUCUCACUUUUAAUAAUAUCAUAAUGUUGAUGCAUCUGAAUGUAAUUGGCAUAAACAGUCUUAAGAAAUGCUUUACUGCACCAGAAAACAUAGAUUAGAAUUUAAAUUAUUAUUGUUUUUCCAGACAUUGACUUUUGGGGCCAGGCCAAAUGGAUUUCUGGUUCUUGGAUUGUGCUAAUCAAUAUAACUGUAGCUGUAUGUUUUCAAGAUUAAUUUUAUGACCAUAUUUUCUUAUCUCAAUAGCAAGAACAUUUUUCAUUCUCUUGUCUAUUGGAAUGAGCAAAUUAUUUUUGUAGAACAUUAGAGGGUAAAAACUAUAAGAAGGCAAGUGAAAAAAUUCCCUUUCCCCUACUUUAUCUUUUGCCCUUCCUUUAUUCCUUUUCUUGUAGAAGAAGCAGGGGAAAGAGGAAAAUCCCAUUUUCCCUGCUUCUCCUAUGUGUAGAUAGUAGGAAAUUAAGUAAAAAAUAAAUGUUUUACUUGAGCUCUUAUUGAUUAUUUAUAUUAGAUGAAAAGAUAAGAAAUGGAUAAUGGGGGAGAUUAAUCUCUAAAAAAUAUUAAUUCACAAUAAGUUUGGCUAAAACAUCUUAACACAUAACCAACAACUGACCUGUAUUUGACCAAAGCUAUAUCCUUGUCAUAAAUACUCAGACACCCAUGGACAGUAUUUUUAUGUGGAAGUAUGCUAAUAAUUACUUAAGGUAGAGCCUCAUUUGGGAGGACAGGUACCUAAAGCCUUCAGUGUCUUGGGAAACCUCUGAGAUCAGUGGGCGGCAGCCCGCGGCUUGUCUCUGUUUGGUCUAGUGCUUAAGUGAACUUGCUAACUAAAGCCUUCCUUCCUCCUGUGUAAGUGAAUGAAAAACCUCUCUCAGUUGCUAUCCUGGCUAAGUGGGUGAAUCUGAUGUUUUUGGGUUGCAUCCACUGGGUCUGAAGUUAAAUGUUGUGGUUUACUACUUAUUAUCUGAAGAUCAGAGAUCUUCAACUUCAAACUACUAUGCAUUUUGAGUUAUUUGUAAAUUUCUAGAGAUUUUUGAGGGUGCCCAGCUGGAGUGACAUUUAUUCCUGGAUUUUAUCAUCUCAAAUACAGCACAGAGCCUUAUCUAUAAAUUAUUCCCAUAUUCUCCCUUUGUGGAUAUGUGUAAUGUCAUUUAUAGAAAUAAAUACUUCAUUAU
rnacentral:lncRNA from 1 species